rnacentral:piRNA from 1 species
UGGGAAGUGUGGUGCUGUGCACAGUGAAC